CCUACGGGUGGCAGCAGUGGGGAAUAUUGGACAAUGGGCGAAAGCCUGAUCCAGCAAUGCCGCGUGAGUGAUGAAGGCCUUAGGGUUGUAAAGCUCUUUUACCCGGGCUGAUAAUGACAGUACCGGGAGAAUAAGCUCCGGCUAACUCCGUGCCAGCAGCCGCGGUAAUACGGAGGGAGCUAGCGUUGUUCGGAAUUACUGGGCGUAAAGCGCACGUAGGCGGCUUUGUAAGUUAGAAGUGAAAGCCGGGAGCUCAACUCCAGAACUGCCUUUGAUACUGCAUGGCUUGAAUCCAAGAGAGGUGAGUGGAAUUCCGAGUGUAGAGGUGAAAUUCGUAGAUAUUCGGAAGAACACCAGUGGCGAAGGCGGCUCACUGGCUUGGUAUUGACGCUGAGGUGCGAAAGCGUGGGGAGCAAACAGGAUUAGAUACCCGUGUAGUC
rnacentral:rRNA from 1 species